rnacentral:rRNA from 1 species
CAGCCGCCACGGUAAAACGGAGGAUCCGAGCGUUAUCCGGAAUUAUUGGGUUUAAAGGGUGCGUAGGCGGAUAGAUAAGUCAGUGGUGAAAGACGGUGGCUCAACCAUCGCAGUGCCGUUGAUACUGUUUAUCUUGAAUAUGGAUGAGGUAGGCGGAAUGUGGCAAGUAGCGGUGAAAUGCAUAGAUAUGCCACAGAACACCGAUUGCGAAGGCAGCUUACCAAGGCAAAAUUGACGCUGAGGCACGAAAGCGUGGGGAUCGAACAGGAUUAGAUACCCCUGUAGUCCCUGUCUCUUAUAA